rnacentral:rRNA from 1 species
UGAGGAAUAUUGGUCAAUGGACGGAAGUCUGAACCAGCCAUGCCGCGUGAAGGAUGAAGGCCUUCUGGGUUGUAAACUUCUUUUAUGAGGGAAGAAAACUAUGGUUUCUACUAUAGCCGACGGUACCUUAGGAAUAAGCACCGGCUAACUCCGUGCCAGCAGCCGCGGUAAUACGGAGGGUGCAAGCGUUAUCCGGAUUCACUGGGUUUAAAGGGUGUGUAGGCGGGCAUGUAAGUCAGUGGUGAAAUCUCCGGGCUCAACCCGGAAACUGCCGUUGAUACUAUAUGUCUUGAAUACUGUUGAGGCAGGCAGAAUAUGUCAUGUAGCGGUGAAAUGCAUAGAUAUGACAUAGAAUACCGAUUGCGAAGGCAGCUUGCUAAACAGUUAUUGACGCUGAGGCACGAAAGCGUGGGGAUCAAACAGGAUUAGAUACCCCCGUAGUCC